UCAGCUUGUUGGUGAGGUAAUGGCUCACCAAGGCGACGACGGGUAGCCGGCCUGAGAGGGUGACCGGCCACACUGGGACUGAGACACGGCCCAGACUCCUACGGGAGGCAGCAGUGGGGAAUAUUGCACAAUGGGCGAAAGCCUGAUGCAGCAACGCCGCGUGAGGGAUGACGGCCUUCGGGUUGUAAACCUCUUUUAGUAGGGAAGAAGCGAAAGUGACGGUACCUGCAGAAAAAGCACCGGCUAACUACGUGCCAGCAGCCGCGGUAAUACGUAGGGUGCAAGCGUUGUCCGGAAUUAUUGGGCGUAAAGAGCUCGUAGGCGGUUUGUCGCGUCUGCUGUGAAAUCCCGAGGCUCAACCUCGGGCUUGCAGUGGGUACGGGCAGACUAGAGUGCGGUAGGGGAGAUUGGAAUUCCUGGUGUAGCGGUGGAAUGCGCAGAUAUCAGGAGGAACACCGAUGGCGAAGGCAGAUCUCUGGGCCGUAACUGACGCUGAGGAGCGAAAGCAUGGGGAGCGAACAGGAUUAGAUACCCUGGUAGUCCAUGCCGUAAACGUUGGGCGCUAGAUGUAGGGACCUUUCCACGGUUUCUGUGUCGUAGCUAACGCAUUAAGCGCCCCGCCUGGGGAGUACGGCCGCAAGGCUAAAACUCAAAGGAAUUGACGGGGGCCCGCACAAGCGGCGGAGCAUGCGGAUUAAUUCGAUGCAACGCGAAGAACCUUACCAAGGCUUGACAUACACCGGAAACGGCCAGAGAUGGUCGCCCCCUUGUGGUCGGUGUACAGGUGGUGCAUGGUUGUCGUCAGCUCGUGUCGUGAGAUGUUGGGUUAAGUCCCGCAACGAGCGCAACCCUCGUUCUAUGUUGCCAGCGGGUUAUGCCGGGGACUCAUAGGAGACUGCCGGG
rnacentral:rRNA from 1 species